UAAUGAAGCCAGUGUUCUGCAGAUAACUGUAAACAAACAUUUAGUUUUCACCUUAUGUCAACAAAUCUGACUCUGGUCUUACCUUGUAUCUCUAGUUAACAACUUCAAGGGUUAACGAAAUUGAAUGAAAAAUUUUAAAUCAGCAUCUGAAUAUUUUUUAUUCUCUGUGAUGUAGAAAUCCACCAAACCCUGCUUAGACAUGAUUUAGAUCUGAGUUGAAUAAUGUAACUCUGUGUAUUUGUAUGGACGCUAAGCUCUGAGGUAAAAGACAUUUUUAACCAUUUUCUCCUUCUGGACGCAACAGAUAAUAGUAUAAUAAAUAGUAAUCGAUAUCGAAUUCGAUUCGAUAUAAACCUAUACCCCCCCCCCCCUUCAUUUUCAAAAGAUCUUGAUCAAUAUUUACAUGUUUUCCGUGACACCCUAUUUGGCCCGGGUUCAAUAAACCCAUUGUUUGUAAACCGGGUUUGUAAUAUCAAUCUUUAUAGGUUUCACUCAAUAUACAGUACAGGGACAUUAUAACCCGGGACUAUUAUCAAUCUUUAUAUUUUCAAACUCAAUAUACAGUACAGGGACAUUAUAACCCGGGACUAUUAUCAAUAUUUAUAGUUUUCACUCAAUAUACAGUACAGGGACAUUAUAACCCGGAACUAUUAUCAAUCUUUAUAUUUUUAUACUCAAUAUACAGUACAGGGACAUUAUAACCCGGCACUAUUAUUAAUCUUUAUCUUUUCAUA